rnacentral:rRNA from 1 species
AUUGAACGCUGGCGGCGUGCCUAACACAUGCAAGUCGAGCGGUAACAGGUGUAGCAAUACAUGCUGACGAGCGGCGAACGGGUGAGUAAUGCUUCGGAAUCUGCCCAUGUAGUGGGGAAUAACCAGCCGAAAGGUUGGCUAAUACCGCAUACGACCUACGGGUGAAAGCAGGGGAUCGCAAGACCUUGCGCUAUUGGAUGAGCCGAAGUCGGAUUAGCNGUUGGUAGGGUAACGGCCUACCAAGGCGACGAUCCGUAGCUGGUCUGAGAGGACGACCAGCCACACUGGGACUGAGACACGGCCCAGACUCCUACGGGAGGCAGCAGUGGGGAAUAUUGGACAAUGGGGCAACCCUGAUCCAGCGACGCCGCGUGUGUGAAGAAGGCCUGCGGGUUGUAAAGCACUUUUAG